CCACCUAUUUAAACCAUCUCCUCUAAUCUUCCAUCUCCAAAAAUUCAAAACCCACACUCCUUAUCUCCGUUCAAUCAUCUCCAAAAAUUCAAAACCCACACUUCUUAUCUCCCUUCAAUCUCUAUUGCAGGUUCCCCCCUCAGCCUCCGAUGAACAUGCUAUUGUUUGGCGAUCUCCGGCGGAGGUAGGUGGACGACGGCGAUCUCCGGCGAUCGGGUUCCUCCUGCGACACCUGACGACUGCCGGCGACAACCCAAGAGACGAGACAGCCGGCCACCCUGUCGUGGUGGGCCGGCGAUAGUGAUGACGGAGACACGCACACCCACCCGAUUCGAGAGAGAGACGUGUCGGAGGGGGGAUAGAUCGACGGACGGCGGCGUUGGUUCGCCGAUCGGAGCAGCGGCAGAGGUGGGUCGAAGCUCCGGCAGCCGUGUAACCGGCGGAGGUGAUGAAGACAGUGAUGGUCGGUACUGUUGAUAACCGAUGAGAUGAUGAAGACAGUGGUGGUGUCGUUUUGGUUCAGGUUUUAGGUUGGUUCACAUUAUUUUGGAGAUAAUAUCUACCUACCAAACACAACACAAAUUCCUAAUUUAUGUUAAAAUAUUAGUUUAAAAGUAUGUAUGUGACUAUCAGUUGGUAAACAAUAUGCACAAUAUAUUUGGUUUAGAGUUCAAAGAAAUAUAUUUGAGUCUGUUAUUGGUGUUGCUGUAAGAACUUGGGGACAGUAUGUGACUAUUAGUUGGUAAACAAUAUGCACAAUAUAUUUGGUUUA